GAUUGAACGCUGGCGGCAUGCCUUACACAUGCAAGUCGAACGGCAGCACGGGGGCAACCCUGGUGGCGAGUGGCGAACGGGUGAGUAAUACAUCGGAACGUGUCCUGUAGUGGGGGAUAGCCCGGCGAAAGCCGGAUUAAUACCGCAUACGACCUAAGGGAGAAAGCGGGGGAUCUUCGGACCUCGCGCUAUAGGGGCGGCCGAUGGCAGAUUAGCUAGUUGGUGGGGUAAAGGCCUACCAAGGCGACGAUCUGUAGCUGGUCUGAGAGGACGACCAGCCACACUGGGACUGAGACACGGCCCAGACUCCUACGGGAGGCAGCAGUGGGGAAUUUUGGACAAUGGGGGCAACCCUGAUCCAGCAAUGCCGCGUGUGUGAAGAAGGCCUUCGGGUUGUAAAGCACUUUUGUCCGGAAAGAAAACUUGCGUCCUAAUAUGAUGCGAGGAUGACGGUACCGGAAGAAUAAGCACCGGCUAACUACGU
rnacentral:rRNA from 1 species